UACCUGAUGGCUGACCUUGCAUGUGAGAAGCUCCUUGUUGUGGCAUGAAUGAAGGUGGUGGAUGACCUUGCCUUUGCAGUGAUCCUUGUCCAGCCAUGAAAGAGUGUGGUGGAGCUCCUUGUUGCGGCACAAAAGAAGGUGGUGAGGACUGCUGCACAUUUCUUGCAAAAGCCGAUGGCUGACCUUGCAUCUGCUGUGAUCUUUGUCCAUCCAUGAAGGAUGGUGGUGAAGCUCCUUGUUGACCUUGCAUCUGCUGGCACAAAAGAAGGUGAUGAGAACUGCUGCACGUUUCUUGCAAAAGCUGAUGGCUGACCUUGCAUCUGCUGUGAUCUUUGUUCAUCCAUGAAGGACGGAGGUGAAGCUCCUUUUUGACCUUGCAUCUGCUGUGAUCUUUGUCCACUCAUGAAAG
rnacentral:lncRNA from 1 species